rnacentral:misc_RNA from 1 species
CAAGAAGCCGAAAGGCUACUUAAAACCAUCGCGAACCCAUCCAAGUUGCUUCGGCGGCGCGGAGGCCCUCGGGUCGCCGCAGCCCCGGCCUCCCCGGAGGUCGAGGGGCGCCCGCCGGAGGUACGAAACUCUCCUGUAUUAUAGCGGCAUCUCUGAGUAAACAAACAAAUAAGUUA